GGCCUGGGGCGGGGGUGCCGCCCCGCUCCCUCCUCCGUGCGGGGACGGGACGGGACGCGACGGGCGGCGGCCCCGGGCGCCCGGCAGGUGGUGAUCCCAACAUUUUGGACCAAGCCCUUAGCACCGUGACCUGGCGCAGCGAACCUCCCUCAUCACCUCCGCUGAAGGUCUCAGCCCGGGGGACUGCAGGCUGACAGCACGGAGCAGGCUCCCGAGGCACAAAACGGCACGGUCUCACAUUUCAAGAAAAAUCAAACUAAGCUAGACCCAACCAAAAUAAAGCCUUGUUCCGUGCUACAGUAAUUAUCUGUAAUGACUGCACAUACUUUGUAUCCCAUGCACAUGUUUAACCAGGAG
rnacentral:lncRNA from 1 species